rnacentral:rRNA from 1 species
ACAGAGGGGGCAAGCGUUGUCCGGAGUUACUGGGCGUAAAGCGCACGUAGGCGGUCCUGCAAGUGGUGUGUGAAACCAAUCAGCUUAACUGAUUGACGCCAUGCCAAACUGCAGGACUCGAGUCAUGGAGAGGUAGUUCGAAUUGCUGGUGUAGUGGUGAAAUGCGUAGAUAUCAGCAGGAAGACCAAGGGAGAAAUCAGACUACUGGCCAUGAACUGACGCUCAGGUGCGAAAGCGUGGGGAGCGAACUGGAUUAGAUACCCAGGUAGUCCACGCCGUAAACGAUGUAUGCUCGGUAUUUGGGCCUGUUAAGGGCUUGGGUACCUAAGGUAACCCGGUAAGCAUACCGCCUGGGAAGUACGAACGCAAGUUUA